GGCCGGAUAAGACGUUCACGCCGCAUCCGGCAACUGCGCCAUAAUGCCUGAUGCGACGCUAAACGCGUCUUUUCAGGCG
rfam:Escherichia coli str. K-12 substr. MG1655, complete genome.